rnacentral:lncRNA from 1 species
UGAUUUUAAAACAGAUAUCUGGAGCUGUGAUAAAAGUCUAUUUUACUAUAUGGUGACGGAUGCCUAUAUUUUGCGGGAUACCGGUAUCUGCUUCCGACACAUCCUUACUUAUUACUAGCUCUGUUUCUUUAGGAACUUUUCACAGGAUGCUUCUUCAAAUCUUACCAUGUUAAUAAAUUCUAGCGAGGUUUGAACCAAGGAAUGUCAACAAGACAAGAUGAAAGUCUGUACGAUGCUUGUGAAAAAGGGGAUCUUCACAAAGUACAAGAGAUCUUGCAAAAAGACUCGGAUAUCAUCAACAGAGUGAAUCAACGUGGCGGUUUCUUUGGCAACACACCAUUGCAGGCAGCUGCAUUUCACGGUCAUGUUGAUAUCUUACAACUGUUGCUUAACCAUGGUGCCAGUGUGAACGUGGUGAACAAAGAGGGUGAUACACCAUUGCACGACGCUGCACAAGAAGGCCAUGUUGAUAUCUUACAACUGUUGCUUAACCAUGGUGCCAGUGUGAACGUGGUGAACAAAGAGCGUUAUACACCAUUGCACGACGCUGCAGAUGAAGGUCAUGUUGAUAUCUUACAACUGUUGCUUAACCAUGGUGCCAGUGUGAACGUGGUGAACAAAGAGGGUGAUACACCAUUGCGCUACGCUGCAUCUCAGGGUCAUGUUGAUAUCUUACAACUCUUGCUUAACCAUGGUGCCAGUGUGAACGUGGUGAACAAAGAGGGUUAUACACCAUUGCACUACGCUGCAUAUCACGGUCGCGUUGAUAUCUUACAACUGUUGCUUAACCAUGGUGCCAGUGUGAACGUGGUGAACAAAGAGGGUGAUGCACCAUUGCACUACGCUGCAUCUCUGGGUCAUGUUGAUAUCUUACAACUCUUGCUUAACCAUGGUGCCAGUGUGAACGUGGUGAACAAAGAGGAUUAUACACCAUUGCACUACGCUGCAUUUGGCAGUCAUGUGAAAUGCAUUAAGGUUUGUUUCUCUCGUGAGAUAGUCAAUGUUCAGCAGCUCAGUUAAUCCUCGCAAUUUUUGGUAGAAAUAGGCAAAGAGGCAAUGCCGCUGAAAAUUGAAUAAACAAUAUCAGUUUUUUGCAGGGACGGUGGAACGAUGUGUGUGUGUGGGGGGGGGGAGAGGGACAGGUUUUUGUGGUAGGACCCUUUUUAAUGGGUUCAUAAUUUGUAAUUUUCGCCUUAUGAAGCGAACAUGUAAUGAUUUUUUUAAAUACUCGAAUAUUUCUCGAAUACCAAAAAGGGCACCUUUGCCUUCCCCCCUGGGGAAAGGCAAUGCCCUGCCCUGCACCCCCUCUCCAGCGUCCCUGUUUUUUUUUUUGUAAUGACAUAUGCAGAGCUGUCAAUUCCGAUGGUCUCCUGGUUUUGGGGGCAGCUCAAGGUAUGAUGUAGUCACGGUAUGAAAAUGGUUCAUGCCAGGUCAAAAAAUCGUUUUUCACAAUAAAUCGUAUCAUAAGUUUUUCCACAUAAAUUUAUUUUUGGGGGAGGAGCUUUUGAGUUGGGUCCUCCCUGCCUUCCUCUCGGCGGCACUGGAUGGGGCGUGCCAAUUAAUUACAUGAUGAUUAUGCUUCCCCUCAUUCUGGCCUCACUGCCAUUAUAACUUCCAGGUUUUUGUAAACGUUUUGGUUUUUUGUUCAAUUAAUGAUAUCCUGUAUAAUUCUUGUUUAGGUGUUGUUGAAAAAUGGUGCAGACAUGAACGCAUUGGACCAUGACGGUAGAACUCCGUAUCAAAUUGCAGUGCUAAAUAGGAAAGAAAUUGCCGAGUGUUUAAGAAAUGCAGGUAUUUAUAAAACUGUAAGAGGUUGUUGGUUAUGUGAACCAAGGGUGGAUCUACCAGUGGGGUGCUCACCCCUCUUCCCCUUGCUGGUGUUCUGCACCCCCUUGAAAACUUUGGUAUUCCUUAUUUGAGUUGUGAAUACUACUUAUUAUAUUGAAAUGAUUGAUUUUCGAAUACGCGUGAGAAUAUUCAAGCACCAGUACUGCGGGUCACCAUAUAACGUAGCACUUUUCUUAAUUUUUGCCCGAAACACGAGUACUGUGAGGACAAAUUUAACGAAUAAACGUAGUGUUCGGAAUGCAGGAAAUGGCAUUUCAGAGCUUCAAAUUUCAAAAAUUUUCUGGGGGAGAAUGCCCCCGGACCAACUCUGGAAAACCACUAUCCUUCUAACAAAUGUGACCAGAUCUGCCCUCUGAUGUGAGCUUUCCAG